ACUGCCAUAGCUCAGUUGGCAGAGUACUUGUCUUAGAAACAAGAGGCCGCUGGUUCGAUUCCGAUUGACAGUU
rnacentral:tRNA from 1 species